AUGAUCAUCGCCAAAAUGAAAAACACAGACAACACAGACAACGCCAGCAGCCUGUCAAGCAUAACUUCACGGUUCAGUGGUGCUACCGAAUGCCAAGGAGUCAAUCCUCAGCAACAGACUGCUGAGGCUCUUUUGGGACUAAUUAGUUUGAGAAGAAAACAGCUGCCACAGUUUGGAAAGACUAAUUGGGGGUCAGCUACUUUUGUUCCAUCUCUCCUUGCCAUUUCUGUUUGAUUUCACUGGGAGCCCAGAGGUCCUGUGAUCUUUAUUACAACUUCAUAGUAGCCCUCAAAUGAAAGGACAAUUCAUCACAUAUCACUACAUUAACUACUUUUCAGGGGUACCUCUCCUUUUCAAACAGCAAGGUUCAGCACUUGCACAACUGGUAGAUACCCACGUGCUAAGCAUUAUUUAUUAUAAAUCAACUUUUUAAACUCUGUGGUAUAACUGGACAGCAACAAACCAACCAAGCUGUUUGACUUGGGUGGAGAUUGGGAUCUUUAGGAAAGCCUCUUACCCCAAGAACAGAUCAGAUCUUAGGAGGGAGGAAUGACAGCCCCAUGGUAAUGUCUCAUGCAAGUGGUCCAGCAGAGCUGACCUCUGGGGGAGCACCACAUCACAGGUACCCUGGCAAGGGAAGCCACAGCAAGGUAAAACCAAAGCAUUGAGCACAUUUCUGUGCUUAUUGCAAUCCCUUCAAAUCACUUUUCCCAUCUUUAGUCCUCACCUCACUACAACCCCAAGCAGCUCAUGCUUAGGAGCAAAGAACGCACUUUUAUCUAAUACAUGCCCAACCAGAUCUAGCUGAGGAGGCACUGGCCUCUAAUGCAAACUUGUAGGUUCUAACAGAUAAAAGUAAAACCAGGCAAUUUUACUUCUUACAUGCACAAGUCAGGAUUUCAAACCUUGGUUGAAGCUGCUGAGCCCCAAGCAGAGCUGGCAGCUGAGCAGCUCCUUGUCAUGUUGGAUGAAGAGAAGCUGCUGCCAGAGGCUGCCAAGCUGCAGCAAAGCUCCCAAUCUUAGGCUCCUGCAAGGAGAUGAAGGUUUGUAAAGCCAAGGCUGAUGGAGCUGCCUUGAGACCCUGCACCUGCCCACAGGCAGGGUUCACUCUGAGGUUUUCUAGCAGAGACAUGUACAGCUCCAAGUGAGUGGAAUCACCCAGCACUGUUUCCUUCCCCAGUGCCACAAGUCUAUCUUUGAAGUUUGGAGCAGAUUUUACUUAAACUCCAAAUUG
rnacentral:lncRNA from 1 species